rnacentral:lncRNA from 1 species
GGGGGCAUUCACCUAAUUGCCUCAUUUUCCAUAGAGCAUCUGAAACUUUCUCUAUAGUAAGAAAAGGGGAAAGUUUCUGCCAGUCCCAACUCAACCUUCCUUCCAUGCAGAUCUGGAAGUCCUCCCGCAGAAGCUGUUUCCAGCUGGCUUUGCUUUGGUUUCAAUCUCUGCAGAGGCAUGCCGGCUCCGUACCAUUCACACCUGGGUGAGGCCCCUCGACCAGUCGACAGGGACAUUCAGCCCUUCUAUCAGCAGACAGGUUGGCAGGAAAGAACAUGUGGAGUGGAGAGAAAGUUCCAGGUGUUACGAUGACUGUAGAGCAUAAGUUGGAUGAGACACCCUGCAGAAGCCCUAUCGAAACAGAACUAAGCAAGAGGCAGCAUUGAAGCAGUGGUGUCCGUACGUGCAAUAUUUGAGGAGCAUCGACCGAGUGAGACUGGGAAAGGAGGUUCUUCUACUUGUGCAGUAAACCCUCAAUUUGUUUGCCAUUUCUAAGUAAGGAAAUGAAGUGUCUCUUCUAAAUAAAUUAAAGCACUGAAGGAGUUACCGAUUCA